rnacentral:rRNA from 1 species
UACGAAGGGUGCAAACGUUGCUCGGAAUUAUUGGGCGUAAAGCGCACGUAGGCGGCUUGACAAGUCGGAUGUGAAAUCCCUCGGCUCAACCAAGGAAGUGCAUCCGAAACUGGCAGGCUAGAGUACUAAAGAGGGUCGCGGAAUUCCCGGUGUAGAGGUGAAAUUCGUAGAUAUCGGGAGGAACACCGGUGGCGAAGGCGGCCUUCUGGGCCUGUCCUGACGCUGAGGCGCGAAAGCGUGGGGAGCGAACCGG